AUCUUAAAUUUUUUUAAAUAUUUUUUGAGUGUUGAAGUUGUUAAAUAGAAUAAAACCUCGUAAAAUUUCCAUUAAUGUGCCCAAACACUCUAAAGCCGACACUAUGCAAACGAAGUUCCAUCAAAGCCGACUCUGUGUAAACGAAAUUCCAUUAAUGUGUCGGACAUAGUAAUUGACAACAAAUGGGGCAUAAAAGUUGGAAGAAAAAGAAAUGAAUUCAUAUAUUAUUAUAUAUAAGUUCACCGAAUAUCUACUGCUAUUAAAUUAUCAAGAAAAGUCUAAAUUUUCAUUGGCCAUCUAAUUUCUCCUAUUACAUUCAAUAGCUCUUGACAUUUGUUGCGUGAAAGGUACCGUUAUAAAAUGUAGCACACUUGAUGUCUGCCCAUUUGUUGGUUGGUGCAUUAAUUAAAUCUUUAAGGUCGAAUAUUACUCAUCACGUGGAUCGCAACAUUACAUUGUGAGGGCUGCAAUAGGGUUGGGCAAAACCCAAUUCAAUCUAAUUCUAUGGAUCCAUUUCAACUCAAUUAAAUGUAGGUGAGUUGAUUGGAUCAAAUUUUUUCAACUCAAUUAAUGAUUGGGUUUGGUUGGUUUUAUAUUAAUGAACUCUUAUAACUUAAUCCAAGAAUAAUAAAAUUUGUCAACUCGAUUGGGUUUGGUUAGUUUUAUAUUAAUGAACUCUUAUAACUUAAUCCAAGAAUAAUAAAAUUUGUAGUAAAAUUAGUAACAA
rnacentral:lncRNA from 1 species